UAUAUCUAUUUUGAAAGGAUAAAUUAAAUUCAAAAAACAACCUAACUAACAAACUUAGUCAAUUAGAAUCAUUGCCACUGCUUCCCUCAUUCUUGCCAUCAUCCGCAACUCUAACUAGUUUGUCAAGUUGAGCCUUGAUCUCUUUUAGUAACUUAUCCCUCCCAUUUGAUGGUGGUGGUUCUUCGUCCAAAACAUUGCUUUGGGAUCCUUCGUCAGCAUGCAAAAAAUCUUGAAUGCCUUGUAGGCAUAUUGAACUACCGUAAUCUGAAUGACUAUUGUUGAUAUGAUUUUCAAAUACUUGUUUAACCCUCUAUCCUCUAUUUCAGCAAUCUCUUUGCCCUUCUUCUUAGCUUAAGCCCCCAACUGCAGAAUGCCUUCACUGGAUAGUCAAAAAAAACCACCAACAGGUUCUUCAAUGGCCAAUGGUAAGGAAUGGUGUACUUCUAAACCUUCAUAUCCACUGUACUUUCAUUUUCUUUUGAUUCAACAAUAGUUAUGGACCCACUCUUCAACAGUUCAUUGGCUAUGAUUCUCGGAUCAAAACUUUCAAAACAGAAAACACUUAUCAAAAACAAAAACAAAGAAUCAACAAUAAUAAUAGGAUAAAUGAACUACUGAAGAAAAUACUGGAACUAAUGGAAAAAUUUACCUAUAAUAAUAAAGUAAUUUUUUUGUACCUUUCUGUUGUUCUAAGUUCAAUUUCACCUUCCAUCCUUUUAGCUUAAUAAAAGCACUGAGCACUCCCUCCCUUGCCAUUUUUCUACACAAAAACAGAAAAAAAAAAUUAAAAAAUAUAAAAGAUAUAAGCAAUCAUAAAGACCCUGAAACCAACGAACAAACCCAUUUUGUAGAGUUAUACAUACAUAUAUAAAGAUAGAGCAAGAAAAAAUUACAUAGAAAUAAGGUUCUAACAAUACACUCCAAAUCUACAUACAUGCAUAUAUAUAUAGAGAGAGAGAGACAUACAUAUAUAUAGGCUUCGUUUGGGAUGUGGGUUAGCCUGGGGGCUAAAGAGAUUUUUUUCUUUUUGUGGUUAAAGUGGCCCCAACCUAACCCAAACCUUCAUCCCAAACGACUAUAUAGAGAGAGAUCAAAAAAGCAAAAUAAAGAGAAAUUUGAACCAAGAAAUGAAGACGAGAAUUUUUGGAUUUGAUUGGAACUAGGUUUCGUGGGUUUGAGCAAGAAAAAAUAAUGAGUUGGUCGGUUUCUAUGUCUUGGACUCGUUAUUUUUUCUUGUUGAAACCCACAGAACAGAGCUUAAAUCAAACCCAGAAAUUCACAUCUUGAUUUCCUGGUUCUAAUUUCUCUUCAUUUUGCUUUUUUUGAUCUCUCUCUAUGUAGUCGUUUGGGGGUUAUUUUAACCACAAAAAGACAAAAUAGUCUUUUUAGCCCCCAGGCUAACCCACAUCCCAAAAGAAGCGUAUAUAUGUAUAUCUCUCUAUAUAUAUAUGUAUGUCUCUCUCUUUAUAUAUAUGCAUGUAUGUAGAUUUGUAGUGUAUUGUUAGAACCUUGUUUCUGCGUAAUUUUUUCUUGCUCUGUCUCUGUAUAUAUGUAUUACUCGAAAUGUACAAAAUGGGUUCGUUGUUCGGUUUAUGAGUUUUUGAUUGCUUAUAUAUUUCAUAUUUGUUUUUGUUUUUCUGUUUUUUGUGUAGGAAAACGACAAGGGAGGGAGUGCGCGGUGCUUUUGAGUAUGUGCUAAAAGGGCGUAACGUGCAAUUGGAUGCUGAUCAACGGAAAGGUUUUGAUUCGAAAAUCGUAGCCGAUGAACUGCUUAUGAGAUGGUCCAUAACUAUUGUUGAAUCAAAAGAAGAUGAAAGCACAGUGGAUAUGGAGGUUCAGAAGUACACCAUUCCGUACCGUUGGCCAUUGAACCUGUUGGUAGUUUUUCGACUAUCCAGUUAAGACAUUAUGCAGUUGGGGGAUCAAGCUGAGAAGAAGGGCAAAGAGAUUGCGGAAAUAGAGGAGGAUAGAGGGUUGAACAAGUAUUUGAAAAUCAUAUCAACAAUAGUCAUUCAGAUUACGGAAGUUGAGUAUGCCUACAAGGCAUUCGGGAUUAUUCGCAUGCUGAGGAAGUAUCCCAAAGAGGUGUUUUGGGCGAAGAACCACCACCAUCAAAUGGGAGGGAUAAGUUACUAAAAGAGAUCAAGGCUCAACUUGACAAACUAGUUAUAACUGCGGAAGACGACAAGAAUAGGGGAAGCAGUGACAAUGAUUCUGAUUUACUGAGUUGUUAGUUAGGUUUUUUUUUUUUUUUUGGAAAGAAGUUGUUAGUUAGGUUUUGUUUUUUGAAUUUAAUUUAUCCUCUCAAUAUAUAUAUAUCCCCAUACAAUAUAUAGUGAGCAGUAUUUUUAGACUUGGGAUGAACAGUAAUUCCUCACUUGUGUGAAAGUCGAUUUAGCCUAUUGUUUUGGUUAAGAAUUGUCUACUUGUACAGGGUAAUUUUGGGAAUUAAAGAUAUAUUUAUGGGAUUCUAGAUGUUGCGGUUUA